rnacentral:rRNA from 1 species
CCUGAUGCAGCCAUGCCGCGUGUGUGAAGAAGGCCCUAGGGUUGUAAAGCAUCGUCAGGAGGAAAGAUUAGUAGUUAAUACCUGCUAGUUGUGACGUUACUGACAGAAGAAGGACCGGCUAACUCCGUGCCAGCAGCCGCGGUAAUACGGAGGGUCCGAGCGUUAAUCGGAAUUACUGGGCGUAAAGCGUGCGCAGGCGGUUUGUUAAGUCAGAUGUGAAAGCCCCGGGCUCAACCUGGGAACAGCAUUUGAAACUGGCAAACUAGAGUCUUGUAGAGGGGGGUAGAAUUUCAGGUGUAGCGGUGAAAUGCGUAGAGAUCUGAAGGAAUACCGGUGGCGAAGGCGGCCCCCUGGACAAAGACUGACGCUCAGGCACGAAAGCGUGGGGAGCAAACAGGAUUAGAUACCCUGGUAGUCCACGCCGUAAACGAUGUCUACUCGGAAUUUGGUCUCUUGAAGACGGGUUCUCAAGCUAACGCAUAAGUGACCG